rnacentral:misc_RNA from 1 species
CAUGAGUGCCGAAGCUACUUAAACCAUCGCGAACUAUCCUAUCGUUGCUUCGGCGGCGGCGGGCUCCCUCAGCGGGACUCGCAGCCCACCCCUCUCAGGAGGGAGGGCAGCCGCCGGAGGGUACAAACUCUAGUAUACAUUGGUAUCUCUGAGUAGUAUAACAAUAAGUUA